rnacentral:rRNA from 1 species
CUGGAAGACGGUCCGAAAGGAUCGUGCCGCUUGCGGCCGGCGUACAGGUGCUGCAUGGCUGUCGUCAGCUCGUGCUGUGAAGUGUUGGGUUAAGUCCCGCAACGAGCGCAACCCCUGCUGUCUGUUGCCACCACGAGAGGUGGGGACUCAGGCGGAACUGCCGGUGACAAACCGGAGGAAGGUGGGGACGACGUCAAAUCAGCACGGCCCUUACGUCCAGGGCUACACACGUGCUACAAUGGCCGAUACAGAGGGCAGCUACCUGGUGACAGGAUGCAAAUCUCCAAAGUCGGUCUCAGUUCGGAUCGGAGUCUGCAACCCGACUCCGUGAAGUUGGAUUCGCUAGUAAUCGCGCAUCAGCCAUGGCGCGGUGAAUACGUUCCCGGGCCUU